rnacentral:rRNA from 1 species
UACGUAGGUGGCGAGCGUUAUCCGGAUUUAUUGGGCGUAAAGCGUGCGCAGGCGGUUUAUUAAGUCUAGAAUUAAAGUCCGAAGCUCAACUUCGGUUCGUUCUAGAAACUGGUAGGCUUGAGUAUAGUAGAGGCAAAUGGAAUUCCUAGUGUAGCGGUAAAAUGCGUAGAUAUUAGGAGGAACACCGGUGGCGAAGGCGAUUUGCUGGGCUAUUACUGACGCUCAUGCACGAAAGCGUGGGGAGCAAAUA